rnacentral:lncRNA from 1 species
UUGAGGUUGAUGGCUCUCUGCAAAAUUAUCCAGUCAUGAACAUGCAAACGCAUUAAAUACCCUGCAUCAACACUCUUUACAUAUCGGACAUAAUAAGGUCAUUCUCGUUCUAAAAUACUAGCUCAAUAUCCUAGUAGGAAUUGCCUCAUUAAAUGUUCUGCUUUAUAGACGAAAUAACCAAUUUAAAUAAACUUAUAACUCGUAACAAUUAAGAAUUCAGGUUUGGUCCAAUACUCGUUCGUUAUUACUCUCAAAGUAUCCGACUUUACAAUUCCUUCCCUUAACCCUCUUUGGUAAAAGAAAAUAUAACAAUUACGUAUACUACUGCUAGCUUUGUAGCAUUGCUUGUACCAACUGAUAAUCCCGAUUUAAAUCUCCAUAUUCCUAUGAAUUCAGCUCAUUAAAAGCAGUCAAGAGGUAAAAAGCAACAGUUUCAGAUCAGUAUGCAAUAAGAAGUGUUUUAGACCCAUGGCAACGAUCUAGAUCAGCUGCUUAAACCACAACAUCAAAACUGUAUAAUUUCUUUCCAUUUUUUCCUAAUAUUUUUUGUUGAACAUUAAGAGUUGAGCACUCGUAGUGUCGGUAAGGAGUGAAUGUAUUUUGUUCG